rnacentral:lncRNA from 1 species
AUAAAAUGCUCAGUGAAGAAAAGUAAAGGAACUUACCAGUAUUUGAUCGAGAUAGUGCUAAAAGAAAACAAAAACAAAGGAAGAGUGAGUUCCACAAGUCUCCAGGAGAACUUGGAUUCCAGAGGCAUUGCAUUGCAGCAAAGGUGUGAGAAAGAGGGAAGAAGCGAAUCAUACCUCCUUCUUUCUGUUAUCAGCUGCAAGGUACAUACCUGAUGAGUUGCUUUCCAUCUACUACUUAAAGGUAACCUUUGCAGUACUAUUUGUGAUGCCAGAAAUUGGAAACAUUGAGAAUGCAUCAGUAGUGGAAAUGAUAGGGAAAAAUGCUGUAUAUUUGUAAGCUGGAAUAUUAGUCAACAGUGAAAGUGUAUAACUUGGAUGUCUAUCUAUUGUAAAAUUAUAUUUUUUGAGAAAAACUCGUCAUAAAGACACCUUCAGGAUGGUAUUCAGUAAAAUUCUAAUAGUACAAAAUACUAUAUUUUAUUCAGUGAUAGAGAUUAUAGAAGUAUGCAAAAAAGACUUUAAAGAUUUAUAAUGCAUUUAAAAGUGUUUCCGAGGAGGGGAGCGUAGUCAGUCUAAGGAUGGGGACAAAUGGGAUUUCAGCAUUAUCUAUAGCUGGAGAAAUAUGACAAAAUGGGAUUUCAGCAUUAUCUAUAGCUGAAGAAAUAUGACAAAUACCAGUUUGGUACAUCAAGGGUGUGGAUACACAACUUUUACUUUUUGGACUUACUUUAAAAAAAUAUAGAAACAAGGCUUCCAAACUUGAUGACACUAGAAUUGAAAAUCAGCCACAAAGGACUUACCUCCGGAGCUGGCUGAUGGUGCUGAAACACAUACAAAAAAAAACAUGAGUUGCAGCGUUAGAAUUUGGGUCCCUAGCUUUUGCGCAUCAGCUUCAGGCUUGUCACUUGUUUCUCAGGAAUUCAGCGAGGCCUUACUGACCAGGUGAUGACUACUCGGAGACCACUUGAACCAGAAUACUUCUGCAGUCCCAAUUUGACCAGUACAUUUAUAUUUCUUUGUCUGGAGAUGAUACAGGGGAGACUAAGAGAGCUGGGGAACUUACUGGGCUACCUAGAGGUGACUGAUCUCUUCAGGGCUGUGACCCCUCCUCAUGCGUGCACUCCUCACUUCAUCAGACGCAGUCAGUCCAAGCUGGGCAACCCAUGCGUUUCACUUGAGUUCUGACACCCACCUAAUGCUUUAAUUCUCAAAUACUUGGGAUUAGAAAGGGAAAAUUGGAGGAAAAAG